rnacentral:rRNA from 1 species
AGGAUGAAUGCUGGCGGCGUGCCUAAUACAUGCAAGUCGAGCGGCAGCGCGAGUAGUUUACUACUUGGCGGCGAGCGGCGGACGGCUGAGUAACGCGUGGGAACAUGCCCCAAAGUGAGGGAUAACGCACCGAAAGGUGUGCUAAUACCGCAUAUGGUCUUCGGAUUAAAGGAUUUAUCCGCUUUGGGAGUGGCCCGCGUACGAUUAGAUUGUUGGUGAGGUAACGGCUCACCAAGUCGACGAUCGUUAACUGGUCUGAGAGGAUGAUCAGUCAGACUGGAACUGAGACACGGUCCAGACUCCUACGGGAGGCAGCAGUAAGGAUCUUCCACAAUGGGCGAAA